UACGGAGGGAGCUAGCGUUGUUCGGAAUUACUGGGCGUAAAGGGCGCGUAGGCGGUUGUGUAAGUCAGAUGUGAAAACCAUCGGCUUAACCGAUUGGAUUGCAUUUGAUACUGCAUAACUUGAGUUCAGUAGAGGAGAGUGGAAUUCCCAGUGUAGCGGUGGAAUGCGUAGAUAUUGGGAAGAACACCAGUGGCGAAGGCGGCUCUCUGGACUGAUACUGACGCUGAGGCGCGAAAGCUAGGGGAGCGAACAGG
rnacentral:rRNA from 1 species